rnacentral:rRNA from 1 species
UACGGAGGAUGCGAGCGUUAUCCGGAUUUAUUGGGUUUAAAGGGUGCGUAGGCGGCUUAGUAAGUCAGCGGUGAAAUUUUGCAGCUUAACUGUAACAGUGCCGUUGAUACUGCCAGGCUAGGAUUUGGUUGCUGUGGGUGGAAUGUGUGGUGUAGCGGUGAAAUGCAUAGAUAUUACACAGAACACCGAUUGCGAAGGCAGCUUACCAAUCCAUCAUUGACGCUGAGGCACGAAAGCGUGGGGAUCAAACAGGAUUA